rnacentral:lncRNA from 1 species
CACAGCCAUGUGCAACUAAGUCAAUUAAACCUCUUUCCUUUGUAAAUUAUCCAGUCUUGGGUAUUUCUUUGUAGGAGUGUGAAAAUGCACUAAUACUCUAGGUUUCCCUUAUUAUUUAAAAUGUGUUCUUUUGGGGCUGUUAGGGAACAGAUAGACUGUUUCAUAUCUGUCUAAACAGUCUUGUGGUAACAAGCCAAUACUAGAGAAUGUAAUUAGGAGAAAGAGGAAAUAAUUUAGAUGGCAUUUGACUUGCUCCUCAAAGCAUGGUCCACGGAUCAGUAGCAUCUGCCUCCCUGGGAGCUUGUCCAGACCAUCAGAUCUAAAUCUGCAUUUAACACACCCCAAGGUGACUCACAUGCACAUUAUGUUUGUUGAUGACUAGACUCCAGAACCUUCUCCACAGGUCACCAUUUCAUUGAAGAUGAGUGGGAGAUGACACAUGAGACCCACAGGAGGACAUAUUAGAAGACGUAUUUGCACAACUUUUUAAGACUGUGAUAUAUAAAACUAAUAUUAUAAAUAAAUAUGUCAAAAAGGGCAAAUGAACCCAAAGAAUUAUUUCCUUAACUUGGGAAAAGCUAAAACAUAGGUGUUACAGUUGAACCCCCAAUUCCCUUGCCAACAAGAUGCAUAUUCCUCAAUUGCAUUUAUUUUGUGAAACAGGGAAAAUAUGGAUGACGUGUGUUUGUCCUGACUUCAAACUAGAAUUCUAUUGAUGUUUGUAGACAAUUGCAAUUGUAAUCUCUUUAUAUCUAACAAUGUCUUUGUACAAAAUGAAUGUUUUUUUUCUUAUCUAAAAUAGGAUGUUGGAUAAUAUAAUCUCUAAGGUUUCUUUCAGCUCUGAGGAAUAUUCUAGGGCCUCAUAAAAAUUCUAAGAGGUAAACAGAACUGGGACACUUGUUUCCAGAAUUUUCUUUGUUUUUGUUUGUUUUCAACAUUGUGAUAUAGGGAAAUUAUAACAAUAUAGGAUUCAAAAGACUAGGGCACCGAUUUCAACCACAAUGCUCUAGCCUGUCAUAUAAAUGUAUCAUAUAAUUUUCAAGUAGCUACUAUAACCUAGGCACUGUUUUGGGCCUGGGAACUGAAUAGGAGGGAAAAAUAUAUAUGGCCUAUUGCUUCUGAGGCUUUUGAGUAGUCAGGAAAGGCCAGCAAGAAUCACAAACUUACUGUGAUAUGUGCUACCAGGGAGAAGUACAGGGCCAUGAGGAGGACAACUGGGGAUCAAUCUGAGCCAGUUAUUUUACCUAUUAACUUCUCACCUAUAAAAUUGGCAACAAGAAUUUAUCAGUUUGUUUUUAAUUAAAUGAAGUAAUAUAUGUGAUAGUGGGCAGGAAGGGGUUAACUUAGCAGGCACCAGUUGGUUAUUCAAACCCUGCACAUUCUCCAUUCCUAUUUUUAGGAUAGGCCUAUGGCUGGCUUCUGGGAUUUGAUUUCUGGGGCCUUUGGAAUAUUCUGCCUGUUUCUGUAAGUCUGAGACCUUGGGCCAUGCUAUACCCAUUUGACCAGAUACAUUAAUCCCAACAAGGGACAGCCUAGCGGGGAUGCCUGUUUUUACUCUGAUGCAGCCUGGAGCCUGAAUAGCUGAGUCAGUCCUGGGGGUGCUGCAUGCCUACAUGACUGACCCCCAAUAAAAACCUUGGACAUCAAGGCUCAGGGGAGCUUCUCUGGUUUAUGGCACUGCAUGUGUUGUCACACGUCAUUGCUGGGAGAAUUAAGGGUGUCCCCAUGCAACCCCACUGGGAGGGGCCUUGGAAGGUUUUGCCUGGUCUCUCCUGGCCUUUAUCCCUUGUGACUUUUCCCUUUGCUGAUUUUAAUCUUAUUUCUCACUGUGGUGAUACAAACUGUGAGCAUAAUGUGUUUUUCUGAGUCUUGUGAGUCUUCUAGAGGAGUAUUGAGCUGGAGGGUGGCCUUGGGAACCCUUCCAUCUGACACUGACAGCAUGUGCUAAGGAGUCAAUAAUGCAGUAAGAGUGUAAAAUUCCUAGUCUUUUCCCUAAAUGUCUGUUUGUCAAAUUACAUUCCUCUAUGGAAUCUAAGAGAAUAUCCUCUUUAUCCAGCCUCACCACUUGCAUCCAGAAUCACUUGAGAUAACAGUACUGUCAGACUUAUCUGUUAUGUUCUAACAAAUAAAAAAUAACCAGGGAUCAUGUGGAUGUAUAUAUUUGAAGGAAACCGAACUCCAGAGGAGGUGCUCCACUAUUCAUGGUUCUCUUAGUUGCCUUCAAGGGCAGAAUCAGCCCUAACAUGGUGCGUGGAGGAAUUUUCUGGAGAAAAUAUUACUAGCAUUGAACUACUAGACCACGCCCUCUUUUUCUUGUCUGUAACUCUCAAACUUGGCUCUCUAUGAAGGCGUGACUUUGAAAUGCCACUCUUUCUUCCCACAUGAUGUGUGAAAGAAAUUUACCAAGUCAAAAAUUAUGGAGACAUUUUACUUAAAGUAAGUGUAGAUACUUUAAGAUAAUUUUUUGUGGGUCUAUAGAUAAAACUUUGCUACAGAUGAAUUAGUUGACAUCUGGCAAUUUUGUCCAUCUUCACAGCUGUAUAAUUUCAUUGUCACUGUAAGUUUUGCAAUAUUGUGUACAUAUUUAAUAACCAAAUAUUUAGUCUCUGUGAACACAGAAAUUUUAAACUCUCAGUAAUGGGGUAGAGUAGGAGCAUGUUCCUAAAAACCCAGUGGUAUUUCUAUUCAGUAUUUAAAAUUUAACGUUUAAUUAUAGAACAUAAUGAAAUUCUUCAAAGCACAGCUUUUCCACAGAGCAGUUAAAACCAAUUAACACUUAUUCUGUUAACAGUUUAAUCUUUAUUGUCAUUUAACGAUGCUAGAAUUUUCCUUUUUUUUUUUUUUUUUUUUUUUGCUGCUAUGAAAAGAUUGGUUACUCUGAGUCAGACUUUAAUCUAAGAAACUCUAGGCAAAAUGGACAGACAGCUUGUAAAAAACAACAGUACAGAAAAGUCAGUAAAGCAACAGUACAGAAAGUCAAGAAAUAGACCCAGUUCAUAUAAUAGUUAAACAUAUGGUCCAAGUAGAGUCUCAAGUCAGUUAGGGAAAGCUGACCUCUUCAAUAAACUGUUGAAUGGUAGUCAUUUGGAAAAAAAAAAAUUUGAAUCCAUGUAUCUUCCUCCAUUGAUAUAAAUUUCAGAGAAAGCAAAUGGGGAAAAAAAAGCACUACAAGAAAAUAUCGAAGAAUUUCUACAUAAACUCAGAAAGGAGAAGGGAUUUCAAGCGAGGAUUCAAAUAAAGUCACAGAAGAAAAGAUAGAUGAAUUUGCCGGUGAAAAUAUCUUUUGAUAUCUAUUAUUUUUAAAAAGUAACAUAAGACAAAAACAAAAAGAUUGAAACUCAAAACACUAAUUCCUCUUGUUUCAUCUAGCAACAUAUUUUAGAAAUUCAACUACUGAAGACUACUCCUUUUCAGUAAUAGUCGUAAUAAUAAUAGUAGUAUACAGUGAAGAAUGAUAAGUUACAGGGUUUUAGGGUUUACACACAUUAAUUUUUUAAUGCUCAAAGAACUCUAUGAAAAAAUUAUGAAAAGUAUUUUUCAGGUGAAAGUAAUAUGUAGAGCAUGCUAAUGUUUGUGUAAAAAAGAUGUGUGGGACAAAAUUUCAGUUAAAUAGGAGGAAUAAGUUCAAGAGAUCUAUUGUCCAACAUGGUGACUAUAGUUAAUAAAAAUAUAUUGUAUACUUAAAAAUGUAAAGUGGGUGGAUAAGUGUUCUCAGCAUGGAAAAUGAUGACUAUGUGAGGUGAUGCAUAUGUUAACUAGCUAGAUUUAAUCAUUCCACAUGUUUGUAUACUUCAAAAUAUCAGGUUGUACACAAUAAAUACAAUUUUAUGUCACUGUAAAAAAUGUGCAUGGGAAGAAUUUAUAUGCAUCUUUGCAUGUAUGUACAUUAAACUCUGGAAGAAUGUACAAAACCUACUAACUGUUAUUUAUUGGGCGUGAAGUGAAGCAGAUGGGGUUUAAGUAUAGAAGGAACAUUUUCACUAAUAAAUCUUUACAUAAAUAAUAAGGAAAGUUAUAGAUUUAUUUAAUGUAAAUUAAAUGAAUUUUUUUUUUUUCAUAGAGACAAGGUCUCACUCUAUCACCCAGGCUGGAGCGCAGAGGCAUAGCUCAAUGCAGCCUUGAACUCCUGCGCUCAAGUAAUCUGCCCACCUCAGCCUCCUGAGUAGCUGUUUGUACAGGCGUACACUGCCAUGCCUCUCUCCCUCUCUCCUGCUCCACCAUGAUCUAUAGCCAGUUGCCUUGGAAUCUCUGCUGAGUACUUCAUCAAGCACCUGCUGUUUGAAGAGGGAAUAAGCCAGAAUAAAAUUCUCGCUCUUCAGAGUAAUGGAGCAUGAGUCUGCCACACAGAACUUUAGAGAGAGUCCUUUAUUUCAAAGACUGUAAAGUUGGAAGAAUUCAUUCAUCUGCAAAGUCAAAUGUCAAAAGUUGUGCUUCCCACUCCUCAUCAGGCCUGUGGUUAACAAUGCACUCGACUGACAGCUCUGUCAUGCAACAGGGUGCGUGAGAUCGCGAGAGCUGAUUGAUGCCUCUGCCUCUACAGUCUGAAAAGUUGCCAGACCAUAUGCUACUUAGUUUAGCCUGUGUGCAUCCUGCCCUGGGACCUGAUUUCUACUUUAUCUUUAAAAAUAUAAAACCUUGGUGCCCUUUAAGUUCUGCUACUGUCUUAAAGUUUUAAAGAAGACAUCAAUGGGUCCAAUUAAUAAUAAAUGUGGCUUCCAUUUAUGGUGUGCUUACAUUUUGCCAGGACGUCAUCAUCACUUAAUUCUAAAUUAAGUGUCAUCUCACUUAAUUCUAAAAACAACUGCGUGGCCUGGGCAAAAUUAAUCUCCAGUUUUUAGAUUAGGAAACUAAUCCCCAAAGGAGAGAAGUAUCUUGCAGAAUCUAGACCGAUUUGUCUUGUAGAUUUUAUAUUCUUGUUCAAAGCACUUCCUUACAUGGCCUUAAUGGGAGACAUGUAUAACGUAAUAGUGCCACAUUUAGUCAUAUAUAAAGGAUUUUUCAUUCUAGAGCUUUUCCCUAGGUAAUGAGUGUCUCAUAUUGUAUUUAUUACAAAAAAACACAUUAAAUAAAUAUACAAAGUAAUUUUCUACGGUAUGAUUUGAUUUCUGCAUAUACAUAUUGUUCAUACCAAGUCUUUCUUGAUUCGUGUAUUAUUGGAGUAAUUCUGAGUCAAUGAAAGUAUAAUCCAACUUACCUAAAUUUAUAUAAAUACACUCAUCACAUUUUGCACUGCAUAGAUGAAAAAUACUUUUAUGAAAAUAUUGCUAAAUAUUUAAUGAUCAAGGUGAAUUGCCUUGCAAAAUUUCCUUCUAAAUUCUUUUUAUACCAAUUGGUAUAUUGGUAUUUAAAACAAUCUCUUUGCAACGUUUAUUAGUUUUUUUCUUCUGAGGCAGAUAUAUUGCUAAAAAAUAUUUAUUUUUAUGGCUUACUCAUUUAUAAAAGAACAUUAACAGAGCAUAAUUUCUGUUCUAAGUUUAUUUUACUUAUUCCACAUAAACUAUUUUUGAGCAUAUUGGUGCAUGAGCCAAUAAAAAGGAUGAAAUUAUCAAGAGAAUUUACUAAACAUCAAGUUACUGAUAUUUAGAAACAAUCUAAGUAUAGAAACACCGACAGAAAGAAUCAGGAGGCCCAGGACAAAGCAGGAGAGGUCUAGUCUGUCCAGGCAGCUCCCAGGGCCCCGCUUCUGCCUUCGGGUGUGCAUUGUCUGGCUCAGACUACACCAGGUCUGCACUAGUGCCCCCAGCAAGGAGUGUGUGAGUUAGGAAAUCUAUUUAAUAUCCCAACUGUAGUUUGUUAUUCUCCAGAAAGCUCUGCCUCCUAAAUCCAGAAGCUGUACGUCUGUUUACCAUAGGUAAUCCUAAACUAGAAGCAAUGCUGCUAAGAGCAGUCUGUAUAUAGGGAGUCUCUUUUUGGUAAAGAUCAGUAGUCUAUUUACCAGGAGUUUUCUCACCAGCACGUUUACAAGGAGAUGAGACUGCAUCACCUCCUGUCCCGCUGGAGGUCCCUUUAGUGGUACUCGAGACAGAAAUGAUCAUAGAUUAGGUGUGUACCUUCCUCCACCAUAGUGGGACACAUCCUUGAAUCUAUAAUUUAUUUUCACCACUUUGCUGGGAGUACUGAUGAGCUUAGAGCCAAGACUGGGAGCUUAAUCCUAUGUGAUUCAGUAGCAUCACGUUUCAUGGUGAUAUACCACAACACCAAUGCAGAUCUACCAUCCUGGGAGUUUCACGGGUUCCACUUGAAAAGGAGGAGGUGUAAAAAAGGUAUGAUAUAGUUCUAGAAAUCCAGCACCCCUUUGAGUAAGAUAAUUAAACAGAUAUAAGAGUAAGAAGGUACAGAUGCAAGUUUUGUGAGGCUGAAAACUUAUACAAUUUUAGAGGCCGUUUUACUUAAAUAUAAAGAACAGAAAAAUAAUUGUCAUGUGCAAAAUGACAAAAAAUAUAUGAUCACAUGUGAACAGGGUGCAAGGUCACCUUUAACAGAGGGGUCCUGAAGCCAUAGCUCAUUAGUAUCUCAGCAAAUUCUGCCUGUACAUAAGUAUAUUUGUGUUAAGAGAGUUGCAUUCAGUUGUUAGGAACCUCUGGAAUACACAUAAAUAAAAGAGAUUUGGUAUGCAGGAAGCUUAUUCCACAAUCCAUGCUACCUCCCACAGUAUUAGUUCUUUAAUGCUAUUUUGGUAUAAUGAUGACAGAAAUAAACAUAUCUGACUUUUUAGCUACCUGCAUACUUCUAAAUCUUUUCUUCCCCAAUUCAGCAAAAAUCUUCAUGAAUUUGAGAUCUCGUUGAAUAAUUGUCACAAGUUCUACCUUUCAUUUCUUUGUGCUUUUCCCACAACUGGAUUAAUCAUGAUUUUAAAACGAUAAAUAAUAGCUUUCUCAUUCAACUGGCUAGGGAUAGAUUGUGAUCUGGGCGUCCUGAAUAUCUCUGAAAUAAUAGAAACUCAGUGAUCAUUUGUGAGAGAGUAACGGAUACCCUUUAGAUAAUCUGGCAUGCAAAAAAUCUCCGAGUUUCUAAAUUGUAGCUGUAAUUUCAAGGUCAGUCUCGUGUAUCUUGAAAGCAAUAUUUUCAAGCAUCUUUUCCACCUAUGUAAUCAAAUCAGGAAAGAUAUAAUUUUAUAUUUAGCACUUCAUUUACUGGGGAUUUUGGAGACGUGAGCUUCCAAUGCACAUUUUUGUUGUUGUUGAAACAGAGUCUCACUCUGUCGCCCAGGCUGGAAUGCAGUAGC